rnacentral:rRNA from 1 species
UACGGAGGAUGCAAGCGUUAUCCGGAUUCAUUGGGUUUAAAGGGUGCGCAGGUGGGAAAAUAAGUCAGUGGUGAAAUACUGCCGCUUAACGGUAGAAUUGCCAUUGAUACUGUUUUUCUUGAGUAUGGUUGAGGUAGGUGGAAUGUGUUGUGUAGCGGUGAAAUGCAUAGAUAUGACACAGAACGCCGAUUGCGAAGGCAGCUUACUAAGCCAUUACUGACGCUGAGGCACGAAAGCGUGGGGAUCAAACAGG